rnacentral:lncRNA from 1 species
CACCUCUCCUCAACUUCCAGCAAGUUCUGAGGAGAGAGUGGGCAUGGGGUGGGUGGGGCUUAGCCGGACUUCCCGUGUUCAUGCUCAAGAAACAGAGCGUGUUUGCAGAUACGCACGGAGAAACACGGCAGAAAGUAACCUUCAGCACAUGCGUCCGAGCAGCCCCACUUCCAUCAUGAACUUCUGCCUCUCAUCACCCUGGGAUGGAGGCCCAGGAGCAGAAUGGGGCUGGCCGUCUAGUGCCCAUCUCUCCUCCCGUGGCCCCGCUGGAUGCGGGAGAUUGGGCCACCACUGGCUGCGCGGCACAUUCAGAGCCCUAACAAAGCUGGCGACAAUCGACCGGGCCUGCCAUUAUCCAUUCAGUGGGUGUAAUAAAUGAGCCGGGCCCAGCCUGCCAUAUACCACCCGGCCCAGAUAACGGCUGAAAGGAGAAAAUUAAAUUUUGCUUU